GCCGCACUGUGGGCGAAGACCCUCAGGGCCUGUUCCAGAAACACCGGGAAGAGGAGCUGGAAGAGAGAAGGAAGCUGUACCGGUGGGGAAACUGGAAGGAUGGAUUAAUUCUGAGUGUGGCUGGGACGAAACUAAGUGACCUCCCUGUGGAUGAGCGAUUUCUGGAAGACAAGAGAGUUGACUUUGAGGUUUCACUGGCCAAGGGGUGAGAGCAAGGGGAGGCUGGGUGAGAGGGAGGUGUCCUGGUCUAGUGGAAGCCAAGGGGCUUAUGGGCUUCACUGCACUGGACUGGCCCAAGAUCGGUGCCUGUGGUGGUCAUGUUGGAGUCUCAGAAUGAUGCUCAAACCCUUUGCCCAUGGUGGCUCAUGCCUAUAAAGACUGAGGCGGGCAGAUCAUGACGUUAAGAAAUCGAGACCAUCCUGGCCAAUAUGGUGAAACCCCGUCUCUACUAAAAAUACAAAAAUUAGCUGGGUUUGGUGGUGCGCGCCUGUAGUCCUAGCUACUGGGGAGUCUGAGGCCGGAGAACUGCUUGAACCCGGGAGGUGGAGAUUGCAGUGAGCUGAGAUUGUGCCGCUCUACUCCAGCCUGGUGACAGAGCAAGACUGCGUCUCAAAAAUAAAAUAAAAUAAUGAUCUGACUUGCUGGAGCCAUCUGAAUGACUUCAACUGGAUUUUCUGGUGUGGCCAGAGCAAGGUGGCUGGUCAGUCCACCCACCCCAAUAUGUCUCCCAGGACCCUUACCCCCAGAUCCCGCCCAACCCAGGGGAAUUGAAAGCAGCAGCAUGGGGAGACCAGAGACUUGGGUCCCACUGGUGGGCUGGAGUCAAGGGGCAUGGUUGGUGGGGUUGGAAGGACCAAGAGCUCAGAUCCCACAACUUGCUAAACAACUGCCUUCCCCAGAGCGCGUGCGGGACUCCUGGAAGGAGGAUGCCUUAUUUGGGUACCAGUUUCUUAACGGCGCCAACCCCAUGGUGCUGAGGCGCUCCGCUCACCUUCCUGCCCGCCUCGUGUUCCCUCCAGGCACGGAGGAACUGCAGGCCCAGCUGGAGAAGGAGCUGGAGGGAGGCACACUGUUUGAAGCUGACUUCUCCCUGCUGGAUGGGAUCAAGGCCAACGUCAUUCUCUGUAGCCAGCAGUACCUGGCUGCCCCUCUAAUCAUGCUGAAACUGCAACCUGAUGGGAAACUCUUGCCCAUGGUCAUCCAGGUGAGAGGACUCAAGAUUUCUGCUCCCAGUCUCCAGCCUUCUUAGCUCAGCCCCUUAUCAAAAUUCACUGAGCACCAUCUGC
rnacentral:lncRNA from 10 species